rnacentral:lncRNA from 1 species
AGUUCUCGGAGCCGUCGGUUGAUUGGCUCGUGGAAAGUGGGGGCGUGGUCUCGGGCUUUAACUUGUGGCGCCCGCUCCGAAGCCCAAGAUCAGUUUGGAACGCGGCGCCUGGCUGAACUGUCCCGUGUCCCCCGGACCUUCUAGGAACUCACCUCCAUCCCCAUGGCUUCGCAAGGCGUGGACCCGAGAGGGCUGGGAGAUGAUGAGCUACACUGCCUCCUCAGAGAGCUGGAUGAAGUGAUUGAAGACUUUGAUAAUGGCAGCAGCAGCAGCUGUCACUAUGAGGAACAUCUGGAGGAGCUCAAGCAAAGGAAUGGCCUUGGCCUUGGCGUCUAUGACAGUGGCAUCGAUGAAGCUGAGAGUACCAACCCAUCUCCAGGGAGCAGCUUAAACACCAGCGAGGAAAACAUUCACAUGCCAGCAACUUCUUCCGUUCCCAAAGGUGAGAGCAAACAAUUUCCAAAUCUGAGGUAGGAAGGUGACAGGUGGCGGGAGCAUGUAUAAGGUCCUCGAUUUCUGAGGAAAGUAGGACGGUGGACUCUGAGGGAUUGGGCACGACCCAGAGAAGGGCCCUGGGAGACCCUGGAGACCAUUUCCAAAAGUGCGGAAGGCAUGGGCUGCUUUGGCCACAAAGGCCAGUAACCACAGCAGGCCUCAGGAAGGUGACCGUCAGCCAAGCAGCAAACCUUUGCUCCACACUGCUGUGUUCCCUCGCCUCAUGUACCGAGCUACCAAGUGGGAGGCCUCCUGGAACUGGAAAGGUACAGGGGAGAAUAGCUCUGACCAUCAGCCACCCAAAGAAGAAGCAAAGAGAGGCAGAAGGACACGCAUCAGUCAGUUCCUGACCAGGCACUAAGGGAGCCCUGGGGUGUUGGGGACCGCUCUACCCUGGUAGAUAGCAAGGGCUUCAAAAGCAAACCUUUCUUUGGAGCUCCUUUUGGAAAAGGAGCUUGGGUCUGAGGGCUGGGGGCAGGGGUGCAAUUCUGAUCACCAAGACGAGUCCUGAGGCACCCUCUCUCUUACAAGCUAUAGCGCUAAUGCCGAAAUCCUGAGGUCGUGUCCUUUUAGACAUUUUUAAGCCCCUUAACCUGAAGUAUGAUCUGGGAGCCUGUGUUCAGGCCAGUCGUUCUUGUUUUGGUAGCUAAGCUUGGAGACACGAAGGACCUGGAGGAUUACAUUGCUGACCUCGACAAAGAGCUGGAGGGUGAGUCCAUUCAUCAGACUUUAUCCUGGAGAUGCUAGAGAAAUACCAGCCUGAACAUGGGAUGGCUCCAGCCCCUGGCUGGAUCUGCCAAUGACUUGGAAAGAGGAUUGUGGCUGCAGAGUCCUGAACCAAGUUCAUUUCAAUCUAACAGGCUCCUGACCCCAUGUCUCCACUCAGCAUAGCCAGCCUAGGGCUCACCUGGACCAUUGCCCUGGCCUCCUAAAGGGUCUCCCUACAUGCCUCUCCCUUCUCAAAGCCAUCUGCCAUAUGGCCUCCAAAGGAAUUUCCCUAAAAUGCAGGCCUACCCACGCCACUCCUCUGUUCAGGAAGCUCAGAGGUAAAGCAGGCUAAAGGCGGCACAAGGCCCAUGGCCCAGAGCUGAAAGCCCCCAAAAGAACCCUGCCUCCCUGGCCCCUGCCAAAGACAGACCAGGAAGGCCCAAAGGCCCAGUGGCCACAACUGGAGGCUUCCUAGAUGGUGUGCCUCAUGUUGGGUCUUGGGCCUUCCCAGUUCUCUCUUGCGGCUAAGCCUCCAUUUGGGAAGAGGAAAAGAACUGGCAGCUUGUGAUUAUUUGAGGUAGAACUUGCCUCUUUCUUGCCCUUAAAUAAGAUUUGGUUCCUUAAGGAUCCUUCCUCUGAUCCCCGGGAGAAUGCCUAGGAGAGAAGGGAACCCAAAUGCUCAGCACCCUGGCGCUGCCCACAGUUCAGUCCUUGUGUCACACCAUAAAACACUUCAGCGAGACUAUAGACAACCUUUAUGUAGCACAUGGGAUUUCUUGAAGGGUUUCCUUGCCUUUGCAUUCAGCAAAAGUCUCCCCUGUGGCACUGCACCAAAGACGACUUGGAUUUCCAUGUCAGCUGGUUCAGGAUUUCAGAGGUUGAACCCACUCUCUCAUUUUCUUUUUUCAGAAAUGUGAGCCACAGCCCUUGGGCACCUGGUGGAGGCCCCCAAGGAGUACUGCUGUAGCCGUGCCUGCCUGUGUAUACGCCCCAUGGUUCUCUCUUUGUGGCCUUCCUCAGAAGGCCGGAGGCCAAAACCUCAGGGCCAAGGAUCGGACGGGGCCACUCACUGGGAAUCAUCCCCAGGACCUGUUGCUCAAUUAUGUUAUCCGAUAAUGUUGCUGUGUCUGUAGUGCGCUAGCUGUUGUUUAGCCUUUGCCGCAUUCUUGUAGCCAAUAGUGUUAAGGCUGUGUCUGUACUGCUUGGGUCAAUCUGGCUGCCCUGGAAGACAUAGCGCCAAUGUUGGGGUCUAGGAUUUCAUUCCAAGUCUAGAAGUUCCCACCAAUGAUGCAGAUCCACCAUUUACUGCAGCUUCAAGUCUUGGAGAGUCACCUGGAGUGCCGAGAGUUGGUGACUUGUCCAGGAUCCCACAAUUAGUCUGUGCCAGAGGUGGCAUUUGGAGCCUCAGUCCUCCUUGCCCUCUAUCCACUAUGCCACAUUUCUAGCUUCAGUAACUGGACCGAUAGCUUUGUAGUCCUCUUCCUUGGCUGUCUUCUCAACUGCAUUGCCUUGACCCUCCUGAAAACCAAGUGAUGUCUGGCCAAUUAGCUGGUCUGAGCAUCUGUCUCCUAGAGCACUGUAAUGCUAACUUGCUUGCUGCCAGAAGAGGGAACAUUCGCCUGGAGCUUAGCUUUCAUAGUGCCCUCUUAAGGAUGAGCAGGAAUCUCCCAGCCAUGAGCCCAAAUUGUCUUCCCUUAUUAUCUCGAUUUGGCAAAGGUCUAUGAGUUCAUCGACAUGGACCUUCCUUCUUAGUGACCCCUUAUGGACUUCGUGGCUGGGCGGCCAGAGCUAGGCAUUGCCUUCCCCCUGUAGCUAACCUGGUUCUGAGCAGCAUCUCGUGUCCUUAGCCAUGCUGGUCUUUUGACAACAAGCAUCCAGUCAGGGAUGGAGCUCGAGUUUGAUGGUUGGUAGAAGUAGCCCAAGCCUUCAGGAACCCAGAAGCAGCAUCCUGACAGAACCAGGCACCAGAAGCCUUUGCAAAAUCAGGUGCUAUUGGGCCCCAUUGCAAUUUAGAGCCCUUAAAGGCCUUGCUAUCACUUGGGGUCACAGCGUAUUUAGAAAUUGGGGUAAGUGAACAUGAAGCCCUCCCCACUCCCACUUUUUGCCCCUUUGCCCAUGGCCUACGACUGGCCAAGAGGCUCCUGCAGCUCUAUGAUGAGAGAACAGGAAAAGAGUUUUGCAGGGAAGGCAGUAGAACUCUAACCCAACUGGAGGGAAGCGGGGUGAGGUGUUGCGCAGUGAGGGAGCCCUGUGAGAGAGAUCACAGCCUCUAACAGACAAGAUGGCCCCUCCUGAUGGCAGGUAACAGCUUCUGCCUCAGGCACACACACAAGCCACAAGGAGCCUCCCUGAUGUCCCUGAGCCAAGAGCGAGCUGUCGACCGCCAUUUCCUAAAGUCAGGCCUGCCGAUGCUUCUCACUCUCCAUGCCCCUUGGGCACUAGUGUAAAUGUUGUAUGAUACAGUGAAUAUUCCAUAUGAGUUAGCAUACACAAAAUGAAAUAAACGCUUCGUGAAGGAUGAGCCCUCGGACCUU